UACGGAGGGGGCUAGCGUUGUUCGGAAUUACUGGGCGUAAAGCGCACGUAGGCGGCUUUGUAAGUUAGAGGUGAAAGCCCCAGGGCUUAACCCUGGAAUUGCCUUUAAGACUGCAUCGCUAGAAUCGUGGAGAGGUGAGUGGAAUUCCGAGUGUAGAGGUGAAAUUCGUAGAUAUUCGGAAGAACACCAGUGGCGAAGGCGACUCACUGGACACGUAUUGACGCUGAGGUGCGAAAGCGUGGGGAGCAAACAGG
rnacentral:rRNA from 1 species